rnacentral:sRNA from 1 species
AGUCGUAACAAGGUUUCCGUAGGUGAACCUGCGGAAGGAUCAUUGUCGAAACCUGCCCAGCAGAGCGACCCGCGAACUUGUGAAUUGCGCUCGAGGGUGUCUAGCGCGGGUAGCCUCGUUUGCCCGCGUUGUCCCCCUCCUGCUGCUUGGGGCGAGCGAGAUCUCGCUCGCUCCUUGCGGCCGAACAACGAACCCCCGGCGCGAGUCGCGCCAAGGAAAAUUUAACGAGAGAGAGCGCUCCCCGCCGCCCCGGACACGGAUCGGCGCGCGGGGUGCGUCCCCUUCUUUCAACGAAAUUCAAAACGACUCUCGGCAACGGAUAUCUCGGCUCUCGCAUCGAUGAAAAAUGCGAUACUUGGUGUGAAUUGCAGAAUCCCGUGAACCAUCGAGUCUUUGAACGCAAGUUGCGCCCCAAGCCUUUAGGCCGAGGGCACGUCUGCCUGGGUGUCACGCAUCGUUGCCCCCCCCACCCACCCCUCUUUGGGUACGGUUGGACGGGCGGAGAAUGGCCUCCCGUGAGCUCCCGCUCGCGGUUGGCCCAAAUUUGAGUCUUUCGGCGACCUUGCCGCGACGAUCGGUGGUGGAACAUGCCUCUCGAGCUCCCGUCGCGCGCUCGCGUCCCCGUGCCACGGGCUCGCGGACCCUUUUAAGCGCCUUCUCUUCGAGACGGUGCUCGCUUUGCGACCCCAGGUCAGGCGGGACUACCCGCUGAGUUUAAGCA